AGCAGUCUAUUGAGCGCUAAAACAACAAAUUUCCUUAACAGUUCCAUCGCGCAUAUCACUCUCGCUCAAACCCUAAUAAGCGAAAAACUCCCAAAAGAACAACUUCUCCUCUGCGAAUCUGAAACUCUCAAUUGUGUAUUUGCCAUUGAUAUUCAGUGGCAAAAAAGGACUCAAUUUCACUUCAUGUGCUGGAAUUUCGAAGGGGUAUACUGCUCAAUUUUAUGCUAAAACUUCCGAGGUAUUGUUGCACAGUAGCGCGCUCUGAAUGAAUCCUUAUCAACAUAUCCAGAAUAUUUGAGAAACAAAGUAGUUAAAGAAACUUGUGUUUCUUCUGAAGUAAAACCAUCUUAAUCUUUGAUGGUUUUGUUUAUCGGGCAUCGGUUGUGGACUACUCUGCCAAACCACCUGAGACUAGGAUGCCUUUUCGUGCCUUUAUUGAUGCUAGCCUUAUAAGGACACCUAUCGCAACUGAGUUUUUGGUGCUUUCAAGGUUUUUGCUUUGAGGGAUGCUGGGGAGUAGGCUGAAAAUGCAACUGCUUAUGUGACUUUGGAACCCUGCAAUCAUUAUGGAAAAACUCCUCCCUGUUCUGAGGCUUUGAUCAAAGCCAAAGUGAAGAGAGUUUUGGUUGGCAUGGUGGAUCCAAACCCCAUUAUUUCAUCUAGGGGGAUUACUAGGCUUCAAGAAGCAGGCAUUGAAGUAGUUGUUGGAGUUGAGGAAGAUUUAUGCAACAAGCUCAAUGAAGCAUUUAUUCACAAAAUGAUUUAUGGGAAGCCUUUUGUUACUCUCAGUGGUGGGAACAAGACUGAAUGUAGCUAGAAAUUGCUGAGAUUUUGAAGCGUAUAAUCCUCAAUUGUCUGCUGAAAUUUCUAGGCUAGAGGUACACGUUCUAUUUUUGUAUCGUACAACGUGAUAAAGGAGAAACGAAAGAAUGAAGCAACUUGGAACACUUGAGUCUACUACGAACAAUCGUCUAUAAAUAUGUAGCUAGUUCCUAGUUACUUAAUCUAGGCUUUAUUUUCUUUUACGUACUAUGAAUUUUAGUUUUUCUAGGCUUUAUUUUCUUUUACGUACUGUGAAUUUUAGUUUCUCUAGGCUUUAUUUUCUUUUACGUACUAUGAAUUUUAGUUUUUCUAGGCUUUAUUUUCUUUUACGUACUGUGUAUUUUAGUUUCUCUAGGCUUUAAAUAUAUUAGUAAUAUAAAUGUGUGCACGUACUAUGAA